AAUUGACGGUGAUGUCGAUUUGGAGGUUGUGCCCUUGAGGCGUGGCUUCCGGAGCUAACGCGUUAAAUCGACCGCCUGGGGAGUACGGCCGCAAGGUUAAAACUCAAAUGAAUUGACGGGGGCCCGCACAAGCGGUGGAGCAUGUGGUUUAAUUCGAUGCAACGCGAAGAACCUUACCUGGUCUUGACAUCCACAGAACUUUCCAGAGAUGGAUUGGUGCCUUCGGGAACUGUGAGACAGGUGCUGCAUGGCUGUCGUCAGCUCGUGUUGUGAAAUGUUGGGUUAAGUCCCGCAACGAGCGCAACCCUUAUCCUUUGUUGCCAGCGGUUAGGCCGGGAACUCAAAGGAGACUGCCAGUGAUAAACUGGAGGAAGGUGGGGAUGACGUCAAGUCAUCAUGGCCCUUACGACCAGGGCUACACACGUGCUACAAUGGCAUAUACAAAGAGAAGCGACCUCGCGAGAGCAAGCGGACCUCAUAAAGUAUGUCGUAGUCCGGAUUGGAGUCUGCAACUCGACUCCAUGAAGUCGGAAUCGCUAGUAAUCGUAGAUCAGAAUGCUACGGUGAAUACGUUCCCGGGCCUUGUACACACCGCCCGUCACACCAUGGGAGUGGGUUGCAAAAGAAGUAGGUAGCUUAACCUUCGGGAGGGCGCUUACCAC
rnacentral:rRNA from 1 species